AAUGUUUAAGAAUAAUUUAUAAAACAUUUAUAGAAAUUCAGAAACCCUACCUCACUCUUAAAUCCUAAACUCUGAACAAUAAUCACUAAUAAAUUUAACUAAUAAUAAAAAAUGCAUGAAUUAUUUGCUAAAACUACUUACAAAAAAGGAUCCUACGUUUCCCAAUAUGUCAUUUGAAUAUCAUCAUUAAUCAUUACCUGAAUACAUUUCCAACCUACCAAAAGUAAAAGAAAAUAAAAAAGAUUAAGUCCUUUGAACAACCAUUCAAAAAUAUAGAUCUCAUAGAACUUUGAAAAUACCAAUUUUUUUUGUUUCUUCAAACACGUAGAAGAUAUAUUAUUUCCAGUGAUUAGUAGUGCACCGGUGUUUACAACUAUUUUUUAUUAAUUUUUAACAAAAUUUAUUUAUUUAUAAAAUAGAAAAAAAAAGUAAAAACAGAAAGUAAAAAAAAAAAGAGAAAUCACGAAGAGAUAAAACUCAUGUUCAAAAACCCCACCGAGUCAACCGAUUUCUCGCAGGAAAAACGCAGAUCGGUGGUACUCCGCCGCGAGUUAACCAUUUUCAUGUUCUAAAUCAAUACUUUUAACAUCAAUCUAUCAUAUUUCAUUGCCAACUUUCAAGAAUCGAAGCAAAUCGUGUAAGAAAAUAUGAUUUAUGUUGGAAAAAAAGUUGAAAAACAACUGUAAAUUAAGUUUGGGGAAGACAAAGUCGAGGGGAAGAAGAAGAGAAAAUUACAAUUUUGCCAUUCAUUAAUGAAAUAAUAAAGGAAAUUAAGUUUCGUGGCAGACACAAAUCAUCAAAACCAGAUAGGCAACAUCGAUCGUAAAAUAAUAAAAAGAGAUAAGGUUUUCUG
rnacentral:lncRNA from 1 species